GGGCCCGUAGCUCAGCUUGGUAGAGCAACGGACUUUUACCCUUUAGGGACAGGUGCCUGUUUUGGGCCGCCUUUUCCUAAAAGGCGGAAAUCCGCAGGUCGAGGGUUCGAAUCCCUCCGGGCCCG
rnacentral:tRNA from 1 species